rnacentral:rRNA from 1 species
AUUGAACGCUGGCGGCAUGCUUUACACAUGCCAGUCGAACGGCAGCGCGGGCUUCGGCCUGGCGGCGAGUGGCGAACGGGUGAGUAAUACAUCGGAACGUGCCCAGUAGUGGGGGAUAGCUCGGCGAAAGCCGGAUUAAUACCGCAUACGACCUGAGGGUGAAAGCGGGGGAUCUUCGGACCUCGCGCUAUUGGAGCGGCCGAUGGCAGAUUAGCUAGUUGGUGGGGUAAAGGCCUACCAAGGCGACGAUCUGUAGCUGGUCUGCGAGGACGACCAGCCAAACGGGGACUGAGACACGGCCCAGACUCCUACGGGAGGCAGCAGUGGGGAAUUUUGGACAAUGGGCGAAAGCCUGAUCCAGCAAUGCCGCGUGUGUGAUGAAGGCCUUCGGGUUGUAAAGCACUUUUGGCGGGAACGAAAAGGACUGUGCCAAUACCACGGUUCGAUGACGGUACCCGCAGAAUAAGCACCGGCUAACUACGUG